UACGUAGGGGGCAAGCGUUGUCCGGAAUCAUUGGGCGUAAAGCGCGUGUAGGCGGCUUGGUAAGUCCGCUCUGAAAGCCCGGGGCUCAACCCCGGGAGGCGGGUGGAUACUGUCAAGCUCGAGUCCGGAAGAGGCGAGUGGAAUUCCUGGUGUAGCGGUGAAAUGCGCAGAUAUCGGGAGGAACACCUGAGGCGAAGGCGGGUUGCUGGGCUGACACUGACGCUGAUGCGCGAAAGCCAGGGGAGCGAACGGG
rnacentral:rRNA from 1 species